GGCCUGGUGGUGUAGUGGUAACACAUCCUCCUCAAUUAGUGUGUAAGCAAUGAGAUGUUAUGAGGAAGUACCCUGUUCAAUUUGGAGUCAGGGCA